GGGGCGGUAGUCUAGAGGGUAUCUCGCUCUGCGUUGUACGCAGAGAGAUCGGUGGUUCGAUUCCAUCCCGCCCCU
rnacentral:tRNA from 1 species